rnacentral:rRNA from 1 species
UACGAGGGGGGCGAGCGUUGUUCGGAAUUAUUGGGCGUAAAGGGUGCGUAGGCGGUUCCGCAAGUCCUGUGUGAAAUCUUCGGGCUCAACUCGAAGUCUGCACGGGAAACUGCGGGGCUUGAGUGUGGGAGAGGUGAGUGGAAUUCCCGGUGUAGCGGUGAAAUGUGUAGAGAUCUGGAGGAAUACCGGUGGCGAAGGCGGCCCCCUGGACGAAGACUGACGCUCAGGUGCGAAAGCGUGGGGAGCAAACAGG